UACGUAGGGUGCAAGCGUUAAUCGGAAUUACUGGGCGUAAAGCGUGCGCAGGCGGUUUGUUAAGUCUGUUGUGAAAUCCCCGAGCUCAACUUGGGAAUUGCAAUGGAUACUGGCAGGCUGGAGCAUGGUAGAGGAAGGUGGAAUUCCCGGUGUAGCAGUGAAAUGCGUAGAGAUCGGGAGGAACACCAGUGGCGAAGGCGGCCUUCUGGACCAAUACUGACGCUCAUGCACGAAAGCGUGGGGAGCAAACAGG
rnacentral:rRNA from 1 species